rnacentral:lncRNA from 1 species
AGUGAAAAUUCAAUAGUGACAAAAUUUGAUUUUGUACUAAGGAAUAACACAGUUUAGUUGUUCUCUUUUCCCAAAUUUCCUUUUUUUUAUUCUUUAGUUUAUAUAACGCUGACCGCCGGUUUACAUCUUUGGCUGUGUGUAUAGAAGUGUGAGACGGGUUACAUUGACUAGCUAGCACCCCAUUCUUUUUGUUCUAUCAAAACACCGUGUGUUUGGGAUUUGGUUCUCAAGAAUUUUCAACUGACUUGACUUGAUAAAAAAAAAAAAGAAAAAAGAUUUGACUUCUACGACAAAGACUAUAAUAAACCCAUGAUACACGGUAUAGGAACGCCAGUGGUAGUCCUGGUGGAAGAAGUGCCGGUCCAGCAUAUUCAAUUUUUUUGUUGACGCCCUAAACUCACUUAAAAUUUUAUGCUUUUGUUAUCCAUGUAAAAUCUUUUUUAUGCCUUAUAUACAACUAUAGUUUUCGCUUAAAAUAUAUGACGCUCUAAGCGGUCGCUUCCCUCGCCUAUGCUCCAUGGGUGGAGGUUUUGUUCGGGGAACCAAAGCUAACCCAAAAUUUUUGUUAGGAUUAUUAUUUUUUUCUUCUAGAAUCUUAGAGAUAGAGAUACAAACAUGGCUGCCCCUAAGGCCUAAGUUUAGCUCGCCAAGCACCAAUAAAAUUC